AUCCAACUGACGAGUCCGAAAUAAGACAAAACGCGCUUUGUCCUGUAU
rnacentral:hammerhead_ribozyme from 1 species